GCCCAAGCCACACCACUGCAGAGCCACCAGCACAUGACCUCCCCAGGCCCCACUCUACACUGGCCCCCAGCCCCUUACAAACUCUUCUGUGCCUGUCCUUGAUGUCUUCUCCCUAUCUCUCACCUAAGCACCCCUGCAUGGCCCCUGGCAGCUGUUCCUAUCUAUGAGAGAUUACUAAAGCCUGACACAAACAUUUCUGCUAGCUCUAUCCAAAAGCAGAAAGUGGCUCUUCAGUUACCUCUAGGAGCUGCUCCUGGGGAUGAGAAAAGGAACCCAUCUCAGACCCCAGGCCCUGGGGAAAGGGCAGGAACUGAGCAAGAUUAUCAGCUCUGAGCACUGAAGAGACUGGAGACCUGGGGUUGAGGGGGAGUUUCCUUGUAGAUUCCUAGAGACUCAGAAAUGUUGCCAUGGGCUCAGGCAGGACCAGGAUGAAGGUCUCCCAUCCCUCCCCCACCAGAAAAGGGGGGCUUCCAGGAAAAGUGAACCUGUGACCCACCAUGGAUUAUCUGGAGAAGGUCUGAAUAAAGAGGACUCUUCCCCCCUCAUUUUCUGUCCUGCUCAUGGGAACUUUCUCUCAGCAAAAAUUCACCUGAAACUCCAGAUCCAUUCACCCCUGGAAUACACAGGGAAAUAUUAUCUCUAAGUUACCCCAACCCUGUUUUCUAUUCUGUGGCAGAGAAGCUUUGGGAGCAGAUGGGUAGGGCCACACUCACAGGAAAGGAUGAUUUUCACAAGAGCCAGGCUCAGCCAGGAGAGCUCUGCACUGUCCUCAUACUGCCCUGAGGCAAGAGACUGUGGACAGCUUCCAGCAUUUGCCCCUUUGGGAUUGCAGGUAGCACAGGAAAUGGAGCCAUCUGAAAUCCACACAAUGAUGACCAUGAAGGUGAAACUGUGGAUGGUGGGCACAUCAUGGACAUGGCCCCUUCUCAGCCCCUAGUGUACUGAGCCCUCCUGCUCCAUCCGGCCCAGUCCCUGGUGAACCCAUUUUGACACACUCACUGCCCUUAACAAAUGAACUCACCUGUCCCCAAAUCCAAGAGCCCCAGCCAGUGGCACUGGCUUUCUCCUCUGUUCCAAAGGCCAGCCUUCAGAGCAUCUUUAUCUCUGGGGGGUGUGGAAGGCAGAGAAGGACUGUAGGAAUAACCAAGGCAAGGAAUAGCCCUCAUUCAGGACCCAGCAAGGUCCUUACAGGCACUGCCGUGAACUCUAGACCACACUUCCUGUCAGUUCUGAAAACACACAAAGCUGGUCCAUUUGCUAAAGCACGAAGCUCACAGAUCACAAGGCUGUUCUGCCAUUCCCCAAGUGUUGUCUGUCAUGAGGAGAUGGAAAUAAAAAUAUAAAAAUAACCACAUCAUGAUUUAGCCUUAAAUGACUCUUAGCCAAUAUGCAUACAUCGUUAGAUUGGAAAGUGACCCUCUCAGGGCCUUUUUAUCAUCACAAACCACAGGUGGUCAGCAUGAACUUGGCUGUCAUUACUGUGGUGUCAGUUACAGCACAUGCACUGAUCCGAGAGAUGGAGACGGAGGCCCAUCCAUGCUGCCUCCAGCCCCUCUCAUUCUCUUCCUUGUUAAUACA